UUGGGCUUGUCUCGAGUUCAUAGUAAGCAUUCCCUGAACAGUCACCAACAGAGGAAGGCGAUCUGGGAGCAUUCUAUAAAUAACUGACCCAUGCUGGUUGAGCAGCUCAAGCGUUAGAGAGCAUUUCUAGGUGCCAGGAUGAGGGGAGGAGAGAAAGACUCACAACCGGCUCAGGUUGGGAGACAGACUUGAGAGGCUGAGGCAGUGACGCAUCAGAAAACGGCGUGGCCACUAAGUGCAGCACCUGCUGAGGAACUGCAGCAAGAAAUGGAGAUGGAGGGUCCCCAGAGACGAGACUCAGUGGCAUUCUCCCCGCACUUGAAAGGAGCCCAGACUGGGCUUAGGGUCCAGGGCCUGGAGCCGGUCCUACCGUGACCAGCGUGGGAGGCACUCAGGAAAAGACAAACCUGACCUUUUUGGAAGUGCUAGCUUGGACUUGGCUCAUAAGAUCCCUGAGAAAGAGAGAAAACCCAUCUGUCUGUUGAGGAAGAGUGACCACAGUUUUCCUCCUAGAGGGCCCGAACUAGAAGCUUCGACAGUAUCGUCCUCACUGCAUGAGCUGGUGGAGAUCCUGAGGCUCAGAGACCAGGAGCUACUUGCCUCUUCUGGAAACAUGUUAUUCCAGUCCAAUGGAUUUUAAGAACAUGGCCUUAGCUCCCAGCCCACCAGCAGAGACUUCUAAGGGACAGGCCAUGGGUCCUCAUUGUUCUUCAUUCAAGGAAUGCUUGGAAUGAAGUGGACUGUUGCAUGCCAGCAUGAUCAAGGGCUUAAGUCAGCAGCUCUGCAAGCAAUCCGGGUGGUGGAGAGAAGGCAGAUGCCGGAAAUCUUGCCCUUCUCCUUCACUCAGUUCUCUCUCCCCACCUUCCCGUUAGAUGUCUGAGCCUAACUUGCCCAGUGAAUGGGCGCUUGUAUGAGUGUCUGAUUCUUUUCCAGCUCUGCAUGAAGCUGCUGCUUUGUGAUCCUUCUUCCUCUGGACUAAAGGCACCCAAUCAGAAUAUUUUACAUUGAAAAAGAAAUUAUAAGUCUAUAUACCUCUGCCAAUCACUGUGUUCUAAUUCUGCCUCCUUUUCUCCUUCAGUAAAGAUAUAAACAUAGAUAUGCAAACACAAACACA